AGCCAGUCGGGUGGACGCGGCACACGUAUCAGCAUUGAUCAUGUAUGUGACUAUGCGUUUGACGUGGCGUCGAGGAAAGUCCGGACUCCACAGAGCACGGUGGUUGCUAACAGCAACCCAGGGUGACCUGCGGGAUAGUGCCACAGAAAACAAACCGCCUCCCGCCUGCGCGAGGAGGUAAAGGGUGAAACGGUGCGGUAAAAGCGCACCAGCGCGUCAGGCGACUGGCGCGGCUCGGUAAACCCCACCGGGAGCAAGGCAAGAGGGCGUACCAGCUGUGGUAUGCCUGCGCGGACAUAGGCUGCUCGCCCAGUCUGCGGGUACGCUGCUUGAGGCCGCCAGCAAUGGCCGGUCCAGAUGGAUGUUCACCACUUCCCGUCGCUGCAUGGCGGGGAGGACAGAAUCCGGCUUAGAGGCUGACUCAU
rnacentral:RNase_P_RNA from 1 species